CGGAAGAGGGGGAGGUGGCGGCGGCGGCGGCCAUUUUGAGCCGCCGCCGCCAUUGGAGUGUCCCCCCCUCCUUUCCCGUUUCGCCUCCUGACAGGAAAGGUUUAAGGGGGACAGAGCCGUGGGAGGCCGGGGCGGGCUCGGGGGCCGCCCCGGGGGCCCGGGCCAUGGAUGUGCGCCGUCUGAAGGUGAACGAACUUCGCGAGGAGCUGCAGCGCCGCGGCCUGGAUACUCGCGGCCUCAAGGCGGAGCUUGCUGAGCGGCUGCAGGCUGCGCUGGAGGCCGAGGAGCCCGACGACGAGCGGGAGCUCGAGGCCGACGACGAACCGAGGCUACCCGGGCACAACAACGAGGAGGUCGAGACAGAGGGGGGCUCCGAGCUGGAGGGGACCGCGCAGCCACCGCCGCCCGGGCUGCAGCCGCACCCGGAGCCCGGCGGCUACUCGGGGCCGGACGGACAUUAUGUCAUGGACAAUAUUACCAGGCAGAACCAAUUCUAUGAGACCCAGGUCAUCAAGCAAGAGAAUGAGUUAGGCUACGAGAGGCGACCGCUGGAAAUGGAGCCACAGCAGCAGGCCUAUCGCCCAGUAGAAGUGAAGACAGAGAUGAAGCAAGAAGCACCCACAAGCUUCCUUCCGCCCGAAGCAUCUCAACUCAAGCCAGACAGACAGCAAUUCCAGAGUCGCAAGAGGCCUUAUGAAGAAAACCGAGGACGGGGGUACUUCGAGCACAGAGAGGAUAGGAGGGGCCGCUCUCCUCAGCCUCCUGCUGAAGAAGAUGAAGAUGACUUUGAUGACACCCUUGUUGCCAUCGACACAUAUAAUUGCGACCUCCAUUUCAAGGUGGCCCGAGACCGGAGUAGUGGCUACCCACUCACAAUUGAGGGCUUUGCAUACCUGUGGUCAGGAGCCCGUGCCAGCUACGGGGUCAGAAGGGGCCGUGUGUGCUUCGAGAUGAAGAUCAAUGAGGAAAUCUCUGUGAAGCACCUUCCAUCCACAGAGCCUGACCCGCACGUUGUCCGUAUUGGCUGGUCCCUGGACUCCUGCAGCACCCAGCUAGGCGAAGAGCCUUUCUCCUAUGGCUAUGGAGGCACUGGGAAGAAGUCCACCAGUAGCCGGUUUGAGAACUACGGAGACAAGUUUGCUGAGAAUGAUGUGAUUGGCUGCUUUGCGGACUUUGAAUGUGGAAAUGAUGUGGAACUUUCCUUCACCAAGAACGGGAAGUGGAUGGGCAUUGCCUUCAGAAUCCAGAAGGAAGCCUUGGGGGGUCAGGCCCUCUAUCCUCAUGUCCUGGUGAAGAAUUGUGCAGUGGAGUUCAACUUUGGGCAGAGGGCAGAGCCCUACUGUUCUGUCCUCCCAGGCUUCACCUUCAUCCAGCACCUUCCCUUGAGUGAGCGGAUCCGGGGCACUGUCGGACCAAAGAGCAAGGCAGAGUGUGAGAUUCUGAUGAUGGUAGGCCUGCCCGCUGCUGGUAAGACCACGUGGGCCAUCAAACAUGCAGCCUCCAACCCUUCCAAGAAGUACAACAUCCUAGGUACCAAUGCCAUCAUGGAUAAGAUGCGGGUGAUGGGCCUACGCCGGCAGCGGAACUACGCUGGCCGCUGGGAUGUCCUGAUCCAGCAGGCCACCCAGUGUCUGAACCGCCUCAUCCAGAUCGCUGCCCGCAAGAAACGCAACUAUAUCCUAGAUCAGACAAAUGUUUAUGGGUCAGCCCAGAGACGAAAAAUGAGACCAUUUGAAGGCUUCCAGCGCAAAGCUAUUGUAAUUUGUCCCACUGAUGAGGACCUAAAAGACCGAACAAUAAAGCGAACUGACGAGGAAGGGAAGGAUGUGCCAGAUCACGCGGUCUUAGAAAUGAAAGCCAACUUCACGUUGCCAGACGUUGGGGACUUCCUGGACGAGGUGCUGUUCGUUGAGCUGCAGCGAGAUGAAGCAGACAAGCUGGUGAGGCAAUACAACGAAGAAGGCCGCAAGGCCGGCCCACCCCCUGAAAAGCGCUUUGACAACCGAGCUGGAGGCGGUUUCCGGGGCCGCGGGGGUGGCGGUGGUUUCCAGCGCUACGACAACCGAGGCCCCCCUGGGGGCAACCGAGGAGGUUUCCAGAGCCGAGGGGGAGGCAGUGGUGGAGGAGGCAACUACCGAGGAGGUUUCAACCGUAGCGGAGGUGGUGGCUAUAACCAGAACCGCUGGGGUAACAACAACCGGGAUAACAACAACUCCAACAACCGAGGCAGCUACAACCGGCCUCCCCAGCAACAGCCACCUCCACAGCAGCCACCACCACCACAGCCACCACCGCAGCAGCCACCGCCACCACCCAGCUACAGCCCUGCUCGGAACCCACCAGGGGCCCCCAGCUACAAGAACAGCAACAUCCCUGGCUCAAGCGCCAAUACCAGCACCCCCACUGUCAGCAGCUACAGCCCCCCACAGCCGAGUUACAGCCAGCCACCCUACAGCCAGGGAGGUUACAACCAGGGCUAUACAGCCCCACCACCUCCACCUCCACCACCACCCGCCUACAACUACGGGAGCUACGGUGGCUACAACCCAGCCCCCUACACCCCACCACCGCCCCCUACCGCACAGACCUACCCUCAACCCAGCUAUAACCAGUAUCAGCAGUAUGCCCAGCAGUGGAACCAGUACUAUCAGAACCAGAGCCAGUGGCCGCCGUACUACGGGAACUAUGACUACGGAAGCUACUCCGGGAACACACAGGGGGGCACCAGCACGCAGUAGCCAGUGUGCUCUGGAGGCCCUGCCGGCUUCCUCCACCAGCGCCCACCUCGGCCCCCUCCGCUACCCAACUGGGUCCGUGGUGCUGGGGGAUGGGUCAUCCCAGGGCUGCCGCCUCCAGCCCACUGCCUCCCCUUGUGAGGGGCUUCUUCCCCACACGGGGCCAGGCAUUUUUCUCUGGAUUCAAACAGGCAACAAUGACCUUUUAUUUUCUGUUUGUACCCCCUCCUUCCUCUGCCGCCGCCUCCUCCUCCUCUUCCUGCCUUCCUCCUUUUUGGCUAAAGACCCCACCUCCCUUGGUCGUACAGUGAGGCUACAAUGGCUGAGGGGCAGACCCUUCCUGUCCCCUCAUCCCAGCCCUGCUGCAGCCCCUCAGCUUCCCAGACCCUGAUGCAGUUGUAAAUUCUUCCAGGAGCUGUUUUACUGUCUACUUUUCAGAAUUAAAAAAGAAAUCAAAAACUUAAAAACAAAAAAACCCACAAGUUUAAAAAACAAUGUGGAGGAGGGAGGAAGCAGUGACAGAUUUUUUUUUUUUUUUGUAAUUAUGCCUCUCUUUUUUUGUAAUUUUUAGAAUUUGUCCGUUUUUACUGUGGCUGUUGAUACUUACCAGGAUAACCAUUUCUUUGCUGAGUUCAGGUGACAGAGGAAGAGCCACACCCUCAACACAAAACAUAUAACAGACAAAACCACAGAAUCAUCUUUAACGUAACUUUUAUACAAUGUCUCAGUUUCCCAUAACUUUGCACACAAGCUUCUGUGUUGAGUUGAAUUGUAACUGCUUUUUGUAUUUGGAGAGAGUGUGACUAUUGAACUUGAAUCCUUUUAUUCCAGGCGUCUUGGUAGUUUCUGGUGGGCUUAAGAGGGUGAGAGGGAAGAAGGGGAGGUGGGGGGAGGGGGCAUCCUUCCUUUUAGAACAAGGAUUUCUCCCACUACCUCUCCUCCAGAGGUCUCCCAGGUGUCAUACCUAAAGGUCUGUCCUGCAGUGAUCCUCUGAUUAUUUUUACUUCCCUUUGACCCAUAUGUUUUAACAGGAUUUUAACAAACUGCACUUAUUAAGAAAUGUGUUUGCCCUGUUUUGUUUUAUUUUGUUUUGUUUUCUUUCAAUAAAUGACAUGGCACCUCCUAGCAGGAAGGAAGCAGGGUUGAUACCCUGAAGUGUUAACUGCAGUUGGCCUCUAAUUGGGGUGGGACUUUUCCAAGGGGACAUUAUUUACUAAUUCAUUAAACUCAUUCAUACAUUA